CUCAGGCACAGUCCUCUAACUCACAGGCCAGGAAGCAGACAUUCCCCAAGGCUCUGGUUGCCCAAGAAACAAGAGUUGAGCGUGAAACAGUGCUGCCGCCCUGUGGACAUUUCCUGUAACUACAGCUUGACCAGCCGCGCUUACUCACAACUCCAAUGAACAAGGCCUGUGGGGCUGUGAAUGACAGCUGCCCUGAGGAAAGGAUCUGGGGCUGACAUUGCAGACGUAAAUUCCAAACACAACCGAUGUUCAAGAAGCCAAUUGCAACAGGUUACAAAGAAGCUGUCAAAGGUGUCUCAGUUUGAGUUCAGCCCAAGCAGACAUUGAGGGAAAGAACAGAAAUGGAGAGAGCAGCUAGGAGCCAUGGCAGGACUGCAG
ensembl:lncRNA